AGGCAGCAGGCGCGUAAAUUACCCAAUCUAGAAACUAGGAGGUAGUGACAAUAAAUAACGAUGCUGGGCCUUUAUAGGUCUGGCAAUUGGAAUGAGAACAAUCUAAACCCCUUAUCAAGGAUCAAUUGGAGGGCAAGUCUGGUGCCAGCAGCCGCGGUAAUUCCAGCUCCAAUAGCGUAUAUUAAAGUUGUUGCAGUUAAAAAGCUCGUAGUUGAAUUUGUGGAGGUUCACAUGGUCCAAAAUGUUUUGGGACUGUUGUGAACAACCAUCCUUGGGUGGAACCUGUGAGGCAUUAGGUUGUUUUGUGGGGGAUGCCCAUCAUUUACUGUGAAAAAAUUAGAGUGUUCAAAGCAGGCUUAUGCCAUUGAAUAGAUUAGCAUGGAAUAAUGAGAUAGGACUUUGGUACUAUUUUGUUGGUUUGUGCACCAGAGUAAUGAUUAAUAGGGACAGUUGGGGGUAUUCGUAUUCCAUUGUCAGAGGUGAAAUUCUUGGAUUUUUGGAAGACGAACUACUGCGAAAGCAUUUACCAAGGAUGUUUUCAUUAAUCAAGAACGAAAGUUAGGGGAUCGAAGAUGAUUAGAUACCAUCGUAGUCUUAACCAUAAACUAUGCCAGUUAGGGAUUGACAGGGUAUCGUUACGUCUCUGUC
rnacentral:rRNA from 1 species